AACGCGAAGAACCUUACCAGCUCUUGACAUCCCUCUGAAUCACCUAGAGAUAGGUGCGGCCUUCGGGACAGAGGAGACAGGUGGUGCAUGGUUGUCGUCAGCUCGUGUCGUGAGAUGUUGGGUUAAGUCCCGCAACGAGCGCAACCCUUGAUCUUAGUUGCCAGCACUUCGGGUGGGCACUCUAAGGUGACUGCCGGUGACAAACCGGAGGAAGGUGGGGAUGACGUCAAAUCAUCAUGCCCCUUAUGAGCUGGGCUACACACGUACUACAAUGGCCGGUACAACGGGAAGCGAAGCCGCGAGGUGGAGCCAAUCCUAUCAAAGCCGGUCUCAGUUCGGAUUGCAGGCUGCAACUCGCCUGCAUGAAGUCGGAAUUGCUAGUAAUCGCGGAUCAGCAUGCCGCGGUGAAUACGUUCCCGGGCCUUGUACACACCGAUACUC
rnacentral:rRNA from 1 species